AACAGAUACAGAGAAAAGUUUCUCCUUCAAUCAGGGUUUUGGACUCUGCAAAAAACCCUACACUUAUCUCAACAAUUCCGAUCACGAAAAUGGCCUCCACCGCCGCUAGAUCAAUAUUCCGAUCAUGUUCUUCAACCAGAUCAGCGUUUCGUGUUGCCUCCGAAGCUAAACCAGCUCGUUCUCCAUUCCGCAUGGCCUCCAAUAAACCUCUUUCGCCAUCGCAAUCCAUUUUCAGGUCACCUGUUGAAUUGAGUUUUUGCGUGGAAUCGAUGAUGCCUUACCACACGGUUACUGCUUCUGCACUCAUGACUUCAAUGCUUUCCCUUUCUAACCGCAACUACGCUUGGCUUUCAGAAGCAGGAGAUGAGUCAUGAUGUGAUAACUACAGAAUCCAAAAACAAUUAUGCACGAUAUUUAGUGGUGGUUACCAAAGUCUGUGAUAUGCCCUAAAAUCAGCUUUGGCUUUCAGAAUCAUGUUUUUCACUUUCAUUGCCAUAAUUUGUAUCUGCCGUUGGUAUAAAAGAAGACGGCUUGUCACCCGUUCUCAGAAUAUUUGGUAGUUUCCUUGGAAGGGUUUUUGUAACAUCUCUAUAUAUGCUUGAGGAUUAUGUUUGUAGUGUCGUACUAAUAAAAUUUCAUCAUACUGUCACAUAAAAGGUGAUUUGGCACAUGUAUUAAACAAAUUAAACACGAAGUUGCUUUGAGGAUUAAUAAUUUAUAUAACUUUGCCUUUUUCAA